rnacentral:rRNA from 1 species
GAUUAUGGCUCAGGAUGAACGCUAGCUACAGGCUUAACACAUGCAAGUCGAGGGGCAUCAUGGAGUUUGCUUGCAAACUUGAUGGCGACCGGCGCACGGGUGAGUAACGCGUAUCCAACCUUCCCCGCAGUAGGGAAUAGCCCGGCGAAAGUCGGAUUAAUGCCCUAUGCUGUAUUAUGAGGACAUCUGAGCAAUACCAAAGAUUUAUCGCUGCGGGAUGGGGAUGCGUCUGAUUAGCUUGUUGGCGGGGUAACGGCCCACCAAGGCGACGAUCAGUAGGGGUUCUGAGAGGAAGGUCCCCCACAUUGGUACUGAGACACGGACCAAACUCCUACGGGAGGCAGCAGUGAGGAAUAUUGGUCAAUGGGCGAAAGCCUCGACCCAGCAACGCCGCGUGAAGGAAGAAGGUCUUCGGAUUGUAAACUUCCUUUAUGAGGGACGAAGGACGUGACGGUACCUCAUGAAUAAGCCACGGCUAACUACGUGCCAGCCGCCGC